AAGUCGUAACAAGGUUUCCGUAGGUGAACCUGCGGAAGGAUCAUUAGCGUAAUUCUGGUUGAAAAACCGAGGAUUUCCACACUUGUGUUUUAAGCAAAAGGUUUUCAAAGUGUUCUCUUGUUUUCUUUACUGGAAAAGGGAGACACGAGGAAUUUUUUGCGAACUCAAAAACUGUCUCUUUCUUCUUUUCUGUUUGAUUACAGAGGAAGAAGGUCGGUAUAAACUUUUUUAUUAUCAAUAAUAAAUAAAAACUUUCAACAACGGAUCUCUUGGUUCUG
rnacentral:misc_RNA from 1 species